UACGUAGGGGGCAAGCGUUGUCCGGAAUUACUGGGCGUAAAGGGUGCGUAGGCGGUUGCCUAAGUCAGAUGUGAAAUCCCCGGGCUUAACUCGGGUGGUGCAUUUGAAACUGGGCGGCUAGAGUGCAGGAGAGGGAAGCGGAAUUCCUAGUGUAGCGGUGAAAUGCGUAGAUAUUAGGAGGAACACCAGUGGCGAAGGCGGCUUUCUGGACUGUAACUGACGCUGAGGCACGAAAGCGUGGGGAGCAAACAGGAUUAGAAACCCUCGUAGUCC
rnacentral:rRNA from 1 species